GAGGUGUUACCAGAUCUACUGAGAGAAGGACGCAGUAAUUCACACUGAAAGACAGUAGACCUGUACUAUCUCAAAAAUCGGCAUAACAAGAAGAGUUUUAUUUAUUAUUUUUAAAUGAAAGUCUACCUUGUCACUGCUUUAAAAAAAUAUUGACAAAUUUAAAGUUGAUUUUUAUAUUGGGAGUUCUGGUUUAAGAUGGUGUCAGAAUUGGGAUCCAAAGUAGAGCUUCUAAUGAUCCCCAUGAGCACUGAGUGACCAUCCGAGGUACCUGCCAGUCUUACUGUGUCCUUUGGUCUCUUGGAGCAGCUGGGGACUAUGAGUCUCCGGAUUCCGGGAUCUAAAUGGGUAGUCAUGAUGAGGUAUGAAGACAUUUUCUAUACCAUUUUCUACGCCUAUACCAGCCAGAAUCAAGUCCAACAUGGCUGCUUCCUCCUCUGCUUUUCCUGUUUGCCUCCUGGCUAUUUUGGGAUGGGUUGGAUUCUCCAGAUAUAGUCUUCAUGGCUCUGUUCUCUGUCCUUAUGGAUUCAGAAAGGCCUUGAAUUUCAUAAUCCUCUUGGGUCCCCUGUGGCUACCUAAGACCUAGAAUGCCUAGGGGAAGACAUUAGAAAGGCUACCUGUGUCAAUUUCAAAAUUAUUUUCAGUAAUUUAAAAUUUUAGAGUCAUGUUAUGUAAAAUUAAGUAAUAGAUAAUUAUAAAA
rnacentral:lncRNA from 1 species